rnacentral:lncRNA from 1 species
AGAGUGGUAUCAGAGCCCUAGGUUCAUAUGGUCGGACCUAGCGUGUCGGGCUCAUAGAUGUUAUAGAAGGUCAAGCACAAUAGGAAAAGUCAUGUCCACUAGGAUAGGAUGUAGAGUCCUGUCUUGAUGAUGAUGUGAUAUGCCAUGACUAUAUGCAUGUGCAUAAAUGAUAUGCUAUGUUUGCUAUGUAUGUGAUGAGGGUUCAUGUGUGCCCACAUGAACCAUGUGAUGCUAAUGCUUGUGGGUUAUGUGCUGGUUUUUCAGAGAAAACAGGAUGAGAGGAACUCGUCGAUCUGCACGAUUGACAGGAGUCCCACCAGAGGAUGAGGGCAC